AAAGAACUGUGUCCCAAUGUUGUGAGAAGAGAAAGACACAAUGAACCACUGCUGGCUUUGAAGAUGGAAGAGGGAGCUGCAACCCAAAGAAUGCCUCUAGAAGCAGGAGAAGGCAAGAAACAGAUUCUCGCCUAGAGCUUCCAGAAAGGAGCACAGUGCCAGCACUUUGAUGUUAGCCAUUCUUAAGAAGUGACUCUCCAGGGGAGCUAAAAUCCAUGUAUUUGGGCACACACUUGAACAAUAUUGCUAGAGAAAUUUAAGCAAGAGCACAAAGGCACUACGUUGUCUGGGAUGAUGGAAGGAGCUAAAGUCUUCAGUGAAUGAAGGAGCAGGACCAGGAGCUCAAAAUACUUCUUUGAAGACAAAGAAGAAAUGAUAUUACCAAAUGGUUGGCUCAAAAGAACAGGGAUUUUGCAACAGAGAGAGUAUGUCAUGGUCUUGAACAAGCAAUGAAAGAAUCAUCUGAAAGGAAUGUGGAGAUCAGAGAAAAAUGAUGGGAAAGUUACCACAGCCUGCAAAUGAGAAAUGAUGAGAGCCUGCCUGGGAUUGCCGGAGGCCAGAAAGUAAGACAAAUAACAGCUCACCUGCCUGGCUUGUUGGAGCAACAAGAAACUUUAAGAGCAAUCCUCCAUUUGCCAGGGGAAGAUAACUGGAAAGCUGAGCUGGAGUUUGAAAGACAAGAUGUAUUUCAAACUUCCCUUGAACUUUCUCCAGUAAGUAUAAUUGUGUGCUUGUUGUCAACCCGGCCUUAGUCCUUGUCAUUACAGGUUCAGUAGCUGCAAAGGUGAAAUGUUUUGACAAAUAUUGAACGUCAUCUAUUUUAUACUCUGGAUCAGCAUGGAUGUUUUUUAGCUUCUUCAGACGGCUCUGUAAUGGAGUUAUAUUUGGAAGUUUCCCAGUAUGGUGCAAAAAGCCUCAUAGAGAGAGGAAGUUUAUAAACUGCAGUUCUACGCGAAGAAGAAAGACCAGAUGCUCAUCCUGCAUGACUCCUCCUUGAGCCUUUGUAUUUUCCCAGCUAGACCUUUCAGGCUUCCUAUUUAUACAUUUAUCUCAAGUAUACCGAGUGGUGACAAAGAUGCGAAUCGGCCAGCACAUUUUCACUCAGUGUAGAGAGAAGCCAUUUAAAGACUGAGAUAACAUUUCAAGAAAACAAUAAAACCUGACAAUAAGGGAAGAUGAGAAAAAAGGAACAUUCCUGACUGUGGUUCUGACAUUCACAAUGUUUCCAUCUGUUUGUUUCACUGAAAUGAUGUUCUCCCGUUCCUGUUUGGCUUAUUAAAAAGUGUAUAGGUUAAAAGAUCUGUUAAAAAUGGUCCAUAUCUGUAAAAUUGUCUGGAAAGAUCCACAGAAAGUUACAAGUUUUUUUCCUCUGGCUGCAAAUGAAAAAUAACAUAUGAAGAUCGUUUUAAAAAAUUUAUUCAAUUACUUCCAGUGUUAUUUUAUGACCCAGUUAUAUAUCAAUAAAAUUAAUAGGAAAAUUAUAUCAUAUAACUUUUAAGAGUCGUUCAUUAUUUAAACAGAGCAGUCAACAUUGGGAAGCUACCAGUUUAAGGAAAAAAGUUACUUAAGGUUAUUUCUAUAAGUACAUUAUAGAGUGUAUUACUGAGUGUUCUGUUACACUGACAGUUGUAGUGACAUUUACAAAUCCUAAAGUUAAAUUAUAUCAGUUUUACCUAUACAUUUGGAGUGAUCCAUGAGAAUGAUAGUUCAUGGGUGAUAAAUUCUCUUCCCAAUACUGUAUGGAGCAUAUCAAGAGUCAUCUCCUAUUAACUUUAUUCUCCUAAUCAAAGAGUGAAUUCUACUGUUUAACCCUAAAUCU
rnacentral:lncRNA from 10 species